AUUGAACGCUGGCGGAAUGCUUUACACAUGCAAGUCGAACGGCAGCACGGACUUCGGUCUGGUGGCGAGUGGCGAACGGGUGAGUAAUAUAUCGGAACGUGCCCAGUCGUGGGGGAUAACGUAGUGAAAAUUACGCUAAUACCGCAUACGAUCUAAGGAUGAAAGCGGGGGAUCGCAAGACCUCGCGCGAUUGGAGCGGCCGAUAUCAGAUUAGGUAGUUGGUGAGGUAAAGGCUCACCAAGCCAACGAUCUGUAGCUGGUCUGAGAGGACGACCAGCCACACUGGAACUGAGACACGGUCCAGACUCCUACGGGAGGCAGCAGUGGGGAAUUUUGGACAAUGGACGCAAGUCUGAUCCAGCCAUUCCGCGUGCAGGACGAAGGCCUUCGGGUUGUAAACUGCUUUUGUACAGAACGAAAAGGUCUCUAUUAAUACUAGGGGCUCAUGACGGUACUGUAAGAAUAAGCACCGGCUAACUACGUGCCAGCAGCCGCCGUAA
rnacentral:rRNA from 1 species